AAUCACUGGCACCAGAUUCCGGUAGUCACUAAGCAGCUUUAUGUAACUGCAGCAGAAAUUACAAAUUGGACAGCAAAAGGUGUAAGCCUUUUCUGAGUGAAUUUGCAGCUUAAUAAAUAAUAGGUGCUAUUGGCAUUCAUUAUAAAAGACUACACAAAGUGGCUCUCCUCUUUAAUACAUUAACUUAUUUUUUACAACAGAUUCAAGAUGACCAACGAAGAACCUCUUCCCAAAAAGGUAUGUUUCUUCAGCAGUUUUUAAGUGGUUUUGGUGGGGUUUUUGGAAUUGUAAUGUAAUUGAAGGG
rnacentral:lncRNA from 1 species